UACGUAGGGCGCAAGCGUUAUCCGGAUUUAUUGGGCGUAAAGAGCUCGUAGGCGGCUUGUCGCGUCGAAUGUGAAAUCUCAGGGCUCAACUCUGACAUUGCAUUCGAUACGGGCAGGCUAGAGUUCGGUAGGGGAGACUGGAAUUCCUGGUGUAGCGGUGAAAUGCGCAGAUAUCAGGAGGAACACCGGUGGCGAAGGCGGGUCUCUGGGCCGAUACUGACGCUGAGGAGCGAAAGCGUGGGGAGCGAACAGG
rnacentral:rRNA from 1 species